UCGAGAAUCUUUCGCAAUGGGCGCAAGCCUGACGAAGCGACGCCGUGUGAGCGAAGAAGGCCUUCGGGUUGUAAAGCUCUUUCGCUAGGGAACAAGAGAGGCGGGAUAACACCCCGCUGAUUUGAUGGUACUUGGUAAAGAAGCACCGGCUAACUCCGUGCCAGCAGCUGCGGUAAUACGGAGGGUGCAAGCAUUGAUCGGAAUUACUGGGCGUAAAGGGCGCGUAGGCGGCAAAGAAAGUCAGAUGUGAAAUUCCGGGGCUCAACCCCGGAGCUGCAUUUGAAACUUCUUAGCUAGAGUACAGUUAGGGAAAACAGAAUUCCACGUGUAGCGGUGAAAUGCGUAGAUAUGUGGAAGAAUACCGGUGGUGAAGACGGUUUUCUGGGCUGUAACUGACGCU
rnacentral:rRNA from 1 species